rnacentral:rRNA from 1 species
UACGUAGGGUGCAAGCGUUGUCCGGAAUUAUUGGGCGUAAAGAGCUCGUAGGCGGUCUGUCGCGUCGGCUGUGAAACCCGGGGCUCAACCCCGGGCCUGCAGUCGAUACGGGCAGACUAGAGUGCGGUAGGGGAGACUGGAAUUCCUGGUGUAGCGGUGAAAUGCGCAGAUAUCAGGAGGAACACCGGUGGCGAAGGCGGGUCUCUGGGCCGUAACUGACGCUGAGGAGCGAAAGCGUGGGGAGCGAACAGG